rnacentral:rRNA from 1 species
UACAGAGGCCUCGAGCGUUAGGCGGAAUCACUGGGCUUAAAGCGUGUGUAGGCGGACUUCUAAGUGCCUUGUGAAAUCCCACGGCUCACCCGUGGAACGGCUGGGCAUACUGGGAGUCUUGAGCCACCUAGGGGCUGCCGGAACAAAUGGUGGAGCGGUGAAAUGCGUAGAUAUCAUUUGGAACGCCGAAGGUGAAAACAGCUCGCUGGGGCUGCGCUGACGCUGAGACACGAAAGCCAGGGGAGCGAACGGG